rnacentral:lncRNA from 1 species
GUGGGUGGAUGCAUGUGGGGGAUGGCGCUGAGGAGGCGGACCCCGGCAGAGGGCUGCGGCACCAGGAGAGAGACACAGGGCAGUAAGGUCCUGGCAGCCCGAAGGGGUUGGGAGGCAUCAGGCACCAGCUGGAGGCGGGAUGAAGGGUUCUUCCUUAGAAAAGCGAUCAUGGUCAAGAAAAAGUUGAAUCACAUCCCCUGUGAAAGGUUUGUCACAGUUCUAACUCGAGGCUCCUGACAGCAUGACUUCACAUGGAAAUAGUCUCUGCAGAUGUGAUCAAGAUGUCACCCUGGAGCACAGUGGGUCCUGAGCUGAGGUGACUGGUGUCCUUAUAGUGAGAACAGACAGACUGCAUAGGAACAGGGUUACCAUGCGAAGACAGAGCCAGACCGCACGCAAGGACAGGAGGGGACUGGAGCCAGAAGAUUCCGACAACACGAGGACCAAGAAGAAGGCCUGGGACAGAUUCCCUCAGAGCCUCAGACAGAACCAGUCCUGCUGACGCCUUCACUUCCACCUCCCGUCAAACACACCAGGGUGGCUGGACUCUGGGACUCUGCCUCUGGCUUCCUGUGGGACACCCUCAAGACUAAUUCUUAGCAGCCUCUCCCGAGAAACCAGGUCCUGUUCUUCGUCCCUCAGCCCUGUCCAGCCCUGUUGAGAUCGGAGCCGGCCUGCUAAACACUAACCUCUUAGCUCUGCUUCUGCAGACGCUUGUCACUGUGCAGGUGACUGCUCAGUUGCCCCUGGGCAGCUUCCCCCUCAGGUGAGGCUCCCUGUUGGGUGUCCUGCCCCUGCUCCUCCCAUUCCCUACCAAGUCCUGCUAGGAGUCAGCAUCCGAAUUAGGGCAGUUGGUGCGGGAGCUCAGCUUUGCUGCCCGCUGGAGCAAGGGUGGAGACCAAACUAAAGACAAUCAGAUGGGCACCACCACACGGAGGAAGAUGUUGGUAACCUCACUGCACAGCACAGUGCUCUUCUCCUUCUAGAUGUGGCACACAGAGUGUGACUGCUGUCCUGAGUCCACGGCUGAUCCAGCGCCGAGGCUCCGCCCUGACUGCAGGGACCACUCAGUCUGCCCUUGGGGACCUGUUCUGCCAGAGGGUGCACCCGAGGUAGACACA